rnacentral:rRNA from 1 species
CUGCCCAAUGAUUUUAUUUAAUGGCCGCAGUAUAUUGACUGUGCAAAGGUAGCAUAAUAAAUAGUUUUUUAAUUGAAGACUGGAAUGAAGGAGGGGAUGAAAUUUAAACUGUCUCUGAUUUAAAAAUAAAAUUUUAUUUUAAGUUAAAAAUCUUAAAUGAAUUUAAGGGACGAGAAGACCCUAUAGAAUUUUAAAUUAUUUAAAAUAUUAAUAUUAUAAAUUAAAAUAUAAAAAUUUUAAAUAAUUUUUUAUUGGGAGGGUAUUAAAAUUUAAAAAACUUUUAAUUAAAUAAAACAUUAAUUUAUGAAUUAAAAAAAUUAAAUAAAUAAAAAAUAAAAAUUACCUUAGGGAUAACAGCGUAAUAAAUUUUUAAAGUUCAAAUUAAAAAAUUUGAUUGCGACCUCGAUGUUGAAUUAAAAUAAAAUUUAAGUGUAGAAGCUUAAUAUUU